rnacentral:rRNA from 1 species
AUGCAGUCGAGGGGUACGAUGUCUUCGGACAGGCGACGACCGGCGCACGGGUGAGUAUCGCGUUUGUAACCUACCUUUAACUGGAGAAUAGCCCGAAGAAAUUCGGAUUAAUACUCCAUAACACUAUGAUCUGGCAUCUUAUUAUAGUUAAAGCUCCGGCGGUUAAAGAUGGGCAUGCGUAACAUUAGAUAGUUGGUGAGGUAACGGCUCACCAAGUCUACGAUGUUUAGGGGGUCUGAGAGGAUGGUCCCCCACACUGGUACUGAGACACGGACCAGACUCCUACGGGAGGCAGCAGUGAGGAAUAUUGGUCAAUGGGCGCAAGCCUGAACCAGCCAUGCCGCGUGAAGGAUGACAGCGCUAUGCGUUGUAAACUUCUUUUGUACAGGAAGAAACCCUGCUACGUGUAGCAGUUUGACGGUACUGUACGAAUAAGCAUCGGCUAACUCCGUG